CAGCAGCCGCGGUAAUACGAAGGGUGCAAGCGUUACUCGGAAUUACUGGGCGUAAAGCGUGCGUAGGUGGUGGUUUAAGUCCGUUGUGAAAGCCCUGGGCUCAACCUGGGAAUGGCAAUGGAUACUGGCAAGCUAGAGUGUGUCAGAGGAUGGUGGAAUUCCCGGUGUAGCGGUGAAAUGCGUAGAGAUCGGGAGGAACAUCAGUGGCGAAGGCGGCCAUCUGGGACAACACUGACGCUGAGGCACGAAAGCGUGGGGAGCAAACAGGAUUAGAGACCCCUGUAGUCCCUGUCUCUUAUAC
rnacentral:rRNA from 1 species